rnacentral:rRNA from 1 species
UACGUAGGGUGCAAGCGUUGUCCGGAAUUAUUGGGCGUAAAGAGCUCGUAGGCGGUCUGUUGCGUCGGCUGUGAAAAACCCGGGGCUCAACUCCGGGCCUGCAGCCGAUACGGGCAGACUAGAGUUCGGCAGGGGAGACUGGAAUUCCUGGUGUAGCGGUGAAAUGCGCAGAUAUCAGGAGGAACACCGGUGGCGAAGGCGGGACUCUGGGCCGAUACUGACGCUGAGGAGCGAAAGCGUGGGAGCAAACAGG